rnacentral:siRNA from 1 species
ACCUAAGUUGGGUUGUCCGUGUG